AAUGUUACUAGGGAGCUUUCUUCAGUCCAGUCCGAGGUGGUUCGAGGGCUGAUUACACAACUGCUGGCUCGUUUGUUCACGAACUCGUCGCAAAUUUAUUAUAAGGUCUAAGAUGAGUUUCUGAUCGAACGAUGCAGGGGUUGUGUUCAGUUAUUGCCGUCGCGUCUUGGACUGAAGGGAGCUCCCAAUAUAUACAUA
rnacentral:pre_miRNA from 1 species